UGAGGAAUAUUGGUCAAUGGGCGAGAGCCUGAACCAGCCAAGUAGCGUGCAGGAUGACGGCCCUAUGGGUUGUAAACUGCUUUUAUAUGGGAAUAAAGUGAGGGACGUGUCCCUUAUUGCAUGUACCAUACGAAUAAGGACCGGCUAAUUCCGUGCCAGCAGCCGCGGUAAUACGGAAGGUCCCGGCGUUAUCCGGAUUUAUUGGGUUUAAAGGGAGCGUAGGCUGUUUGUUAAGCGUGUUGUGAAAUGUAAGAGCUCAACUUUUAGAUUGCAGCGCGAACUGGCAGACUUGAGUGCGCACAACGUAGGCGGAAUUCAUGGUGUAGCGGUGAAAUGCUUAGAUAUCAUGACGAACUCCGAUUGCGAAGGCAGCUUACGGGAGCGCAACUGACGCUAAAGCUCGAAGGUGCGGGUAUCGAACAGG
rnacentral:rRNA from 1 species